UUGCCUAAGUGUUGUCUAAGGUGGAAUUUAUUCGUCAAUCUUAGAUGCCAAGAUAAGUUGAUACACAUCUUGAAAGUGUAUUUUUUUUUGUUCUAGCCUGUAAGGGCUUUCAUUCUUAAAAUAAUGAAAUCAAGGUAGGCAGGUAGCAAGAGUAUAAGUUUCAUAUGCGGGGGAGAUGGGUCAUCUAGAUUACUUCAGUUACUGAACUGUGACCACCAUGUCGGUAAACGAUGAUCUUUGAUCGCCAUUGGUUGCAUACAUGUUCUUUAACUGAAAUAAUUUAGAAGAUUCAUUUCCAAGAAUAAUUGGCUCAUAUUAAUAACUUGUUGUGCAGCUUGCAUUGCCCUAAAGGAUUUUUAUAAACUCAACAUGAUGCAGCGCGUGGACUGGAAUGAGAAGCAUAGGGUUAUUUUUCUACAUAAAAAGGUGAUAAAUAUUCUCUCUUAACUGUAAAUGAAUUAUGAGUGGCACACAUGAAUUCCUUAGGUCUCUAGGUUAUUUCAUUUCAAAAUUUGAACUUCCCAUGGUGAAUCUGAAAAGAAAUAUUGUUCUUGUAAUAAGUGUAAAUUUGGUAUAUGAUGAUGCUUAAGACAAUAAGACUGACGGAUAUUGGAUUAUUUGUCGUGUCCUUUUGAAAAUUGCAGAAAAAUGCCUACGCAUUGCUGUAUUCGGGAGACUUAUCAACUGCAGCAAAGAAUGCAAUGAAGAAUAAUUUUGAAACAAAGAUAUCUCACAUAGUGGAUAUCAGCUACCACAGGUUGGCAUCCUUAUUAUAUUUCUACGACAUGCAUGCAUUCAAUUGCUCAAGCACGUUCUCCCUACUUGUCUUCAACAAAUAUGAAUGCUUAAGACCGGAUGUUUCUUCUCUAUGGGAAAGCAGUGGCUACACCCACCACACUACACCCCGGCUAUACCCCGCAAGAAAACAUAUCAAAACUUUUCAAAAAAGUUCUGAAACUUUGUGGUAAUAGUUAUGAACAAAUGUUAUAGGUGUUUGCAAAGUUUGGAUGUCAAAUAACAUUCGAGGAGCUCUGUAAAAAAAAUCACCAAAAAUUACUCAAAAUAUAUGUGCACUGUUUGAGUAGAUUUUGUAAUUUUCUUUUUGUGCAAAGCUCGUCGAAUGUUAUUUGACCACCAAACUUUGCAAGCACCUAUAUAUUUGCUUCUUAAGAAUGGCAGUAAUUUUAAUAAGCUCAUUACUAAUUUACUGGGUUUGCAGCUUUUCAGGUAAGAGCGAUGUUGUGAAAAUUUUGACGGUCAAGGGAGCAAAGCCUGACGGGCGACAUCUGUCCUGCGACUUCGUUGAUGUACACCAUGUAGAAACAAUGCUCAGCAGUUACAAGACGUCUCAUGGUACCGGGGGAAAUGCUGCCAGGGUUGAACCAAGUGCGGAUGAGGUCUAGCCGUCUAGACGUGCGAGAGGACUUUCCAUAAUACGUUUCUCUGAUCUGGUAGGCGGAGAGCAUGUGCCCGGAACGCAGUUCCUGUGGUAUCCGCGUUGGCUGCGGAGUUUUUUUUCUAAGAGAGAGAGAGAUCAGCAGAGGUUAUGCUCUGUUCGUGGUCGGCCUGCAAGUGUUUUGUAUGUUCUCG
rnacentral:lncRNA from 1 species